AUCAUUCAGUGCGUCUGAAAUAGCAUCGAGCAGCGCGUCUGAAACUUGGUCCAACUCCAGGACCAGUUCAAACCGUGAAAAUGAUGAUGAGGAUCAGGACCCUGUACAGAAGGCAUUGAAAAGAGCUCAGGCCCGCCCACAAAAUCUGGCCAAAAGUCUUGAGGAUAUCACAGCAUCCAUGCCACCACGACAAGAAAGAAGACUAGCUCCCCUUGAUGUCCUCAGGCGAAGCAGUGAUG